rnacentral:rRNA from 1 species
GGCGCACGGGUGCGUAACACGCUAUGCAACCUACCCUUUACAGGGGGAUAGCUCAGAGAAAUCUGAAUUAAUACCCCAUAGUUACAUUUUGCUGCAUGGUAAGAUGUAUAAAGCUCCGGCGGUAAAGGAUGGGCAUGCGUUACAUUAGCUAGUUGGUGAGGUAAUGGCUCACCAAGGCUACGAUGUAUAGGGGUUCUGAGAGGAUGAUCCCCCACACUGGUACUGAGACACGGACCAGACUCCUACGGGAGGCAGCAGUAGGGAAUAUUGGACAAUGGACGCAAGUCUGAUCCAGCCAUGCCGCGUGCAGGAUGACAGCCCUCUGGGUUGUAAACUGCUUUUAUAUGAGAAGAGACCCUCAGAUGCGUUUGAGGCUGACGGUAUCAUAUGAAUAAGGAUCGGCUAACUUCGUGCCAGCAGCCGCGGUAAGACGAAGGAUCCAAGCGUUGUCCGGAUUUACUGGGUUUAAAGGAUGC